GACGUAGGGCGCGAGCGUUGUCCGGAUUUAUUGGGCGUAAAGAGCUCGUAGGCGGCUUGUCGCGUCGAGUGUGAAAUCCUGCGGCUCAACUGCAGGCUUGCAUUCGAUACGGGCAGGCUGGAGUUCGGUAGGGGAGACUGGAAUUCCUGGUGUAGCGGUGAAAUGCGUAGAGAUGUGGAGGAACACCAGUGGCGAAGGCGACUCACUGGACACAUAUUGACGCUGAGGUGCGAAAGCGUGGGGAGCAAACAGG
rnacentral:rRNA from 1 species